ACUCAGCGCAUCAGUCAAAUUCCCAGUAAACUUUUCUUUCAAUAGACUACUGGAGCCGUUAUUGUGCUUAAAUGAACUGCUAACUGGAGAGGUGUGGUACUUCGGGUGUGCACCAAUGAAAUGUGCAUCUGAGGGUCCUUUGAAAUAC
rnacentral:snoRNA from 1 species